rnacentral:rRNA from 1 species
UACGAAGGGUGCAAGCGUUACUCGGAAUUACUGGGCGUAAAGCGUGCGUAGGUGGUUUGUUAAGUCUGUUGUGAAAGCCCCGGGCUCAACCUGGGAAUGGCAAUGGAUACUGGCGAUCUUGGGCCAACUAGGGGCAACUGGAACAAGCGGUGGAGCGGUGAAAUGCGUAGAUAUCGCUUGGAACGCCAACGGUGAAAACAGGUUGCUGGGGUUGUGCCGACGCUGAGACACGAAAGCCAGGGGAGCGAACGGG